AACACGUCACUUAUGGUUCAAAGUUGAAAGUCAAUACACGCACGCACACUGCAACGAAGCGGUAUGGCGCUUCUCGUGGGGUCUAGAGUCGUUUUUCAGACGUUCCGACCCCAAAGCUCGAUGACUAUUCACUCAUUUUGCACGUUUCAAGAUGUUAUGCAUCGUGCUGCAGCCGGAAGUGGUGGACGCGCGUGCCGGGUAUCCAGUGGCGGCUUGCGGAAGUUUAGCUCCGAUGCUAAUGACCUGAGCGUUAGGUUUUUGGACGGAGAUGACUCAGGGAUCGUCGUCUUCGGCCUUAAUCGAGCGAAAGCUAAAAAUGCUAUCAGUAAAAAUUUUGUUAAGGAGAUGUCUGAAGCUGUUGAAUCCGUGAAAAAGAACAAUAAGGUGCGUUCUGUCAUCUUGUGCAGCAUGGUGCCUGGAGUCUUCUGUGCAGGCGCUGACUUGAAAGAACGAGCAAAAAUGCAUCAGAGUGAAGUUGGGCCUUUUGUCUCUAAAGCCAGGGCUCUUAUUACAGAAUUAGGUAAUCUCCCCAUGCCGACAAUUGCAGCUAUAGAUGGAGCAGCGCUGGGAGGAGGACUUGAGAUGGCUCUGGCCUGUGAUAUAAGAAUAGCAGCUACUUCUGCUAAAAUGGGACUGGUUGAAACAAAACUAGCCAUCAUUCCAGGUGCAGCAGUAUACUCCAUCCUGAGGAUCUCAAGCAGCCCUACUGUUAGUCCCAAUGAUCACUCAACUCAGCAAGUGGAAGACGUUUUUCAUACAUUAUUCCCUUCCCAAUCUGGAAUAUUGUUCCAGAGAAACCUUUUUAUUUUUAUUUUUUAUUUAAAUAAACAUAGACCUACAUAAACAUACUUGAUUGGUCACUCUUUUUACUUAAGGGUUGUUUUAUUCAUAUAAAAUUAAUGAAAUGAAAUAUAGAAAAUUUUGUUUUGAAACAUUACUAGCCGUCACAUAAGUCUGAGAACCCGAGAAAUGCUGCAUUCAUGUUGCCUAAAAAUAAAAAAAUUGAAGAUAAAAAUUUCCCUGUUCAUCUCCAUCUGCUUCACCAACACUGUAUAAAAAAAAAAAAAUCAUGUUUGGUAUUUAAAAUCCUCUCAUGUAGUCUUCAAUCCUUCUGGACCAUUUUGGGUACCAGCCUUCUAGAUUUUCCAGAUUAUUUCAUUCUUUUGUGUUUAUGUCAGAAAUUUGGAUUUGAGGUGGAGUCCAUAACAAUAACCUGGAGACCAGCAGACGUUUUAAGAAAAAAAGGUUGAAAGUUUAAUGCCACCCUGCAUAAAAUUGCAAAACCCCUCAGCAGCUUAAUCAAAAGGUAGUUUGGCUCUGAUCUGCCAUCUAAUAAAUGUUGCUUCGAAAUCUUCUGGAUAUACAUAAGGUACGCAGACUGUAGAAUACAAACACUGCUGACAUGCACACAAAAUCAUCUGCACAUCAGAUCAUAUUGCACCAUCUCUGAGUGUGGAUUCUUUAUAUAAUGUCAUAACACUUCCUACACAUGUCACUGACAUCAUUAAAUAUUCAAAUGAUACAGUAGUGCUACAGUGGCCAGGGCUUAGGGUUGUGAAAGAAUUCAUAAUGUUCAAAAGUUGUUUUUUGACUUUAUGUUUUUAUUAAUAAUAAUAAUAAUAAUAAUAAGAAGAAGAAGAAUCGUUAUUAUUAUUAUUAUUAUUAGUAGUAGUAGUAGUAAUAUCUCCAUCAAGUCUUGUAGGUUUUUAUGUAUUCUUAUAUACAUUAAUCUUGCUCCAUUAAAAAACCAUCAUCAAAAUUUCUGGCACAAAAUGUAACACGGCUUAUUGAACAUAAAACUUAACAAGAAAAUGUAAUUAAUAAAUUGGACAAAUUGACUGAAUACUGCAAACAGGAGGUUUAGUUACAGAAGGCUAGAAGAAGGAAAGAAAACACUGGUUAAAGGAAGCCCAAAAAUAGAUCUGCAGUAUGUGGUUGGGUAGCGAUGACAACGUAUUUAAAGUAGGCUGAUUUCAUGUGACACAGCAUAAAAACACUGUUUAACUUUGCUUUUCUGCUGUCAAUGUGCUAAGUGGUGGGAGAAAAUCUUAAAUGAACUCCAGCACUGUUUCUGAUGUUUAAUGUGCCAUUGAGUAUUUUAUAUUCUCCCAUAAAGAUGGUAUGAUACAACUACGGAACAUUACUUUAAGGAACGGUUGACCAUUUUCCCCAAAUCAUCUUAACAUCUGUGACAAGCAGUCAUCCAUCACGGCAGCUUUCAUCAAGUUAAAUGUGCUCGGAGGAGCUCGUAUGCCAGAGACCAUGAAGAUCGAUUACAUCAUUCACAAUCUGACAUGCUCUGCGUAGCUAAUAUAGGAGCCGGUCAUACGGAAGAGUUUGUCUUUCAAGUUAAUAUAUCGUGUGGAUUUUCAUUUAAAACUAGGGAAAAAAGUCUGUGGGGGGAACCCAGCGUCUCCCACGGUCUAUAGGAGUGUCUUUGGCUAAGGAGCUGAUCUUUGCUGCACGGGUGAUUGAUGGUGCUGAGGCAAAGACUCUGGGGCUUGUUAACCAUGCCGUGGAG